AAUGCCUUCACAGAGAGUUUUCGUAAACAUCUAAGAGGUUAGGCAUCUUGGUAGAUACAACAAUGAAAUGACUCCAGUUAUUGGUUGGAAAUAUUAAUUGUUCUCCUGGUGCUUGGAUAAGGAAGUGCAUACCAUAAUCUCAGCUUCAGAGACUAUGCAGCUGGGAGCCCAACAAAUAGGCAGACUGACUCUUCUUGUUACAAAGCAGCAGGGGAAGAAGUGGGAGCACAGGCUUCGGAGAGGAACGGUAAAUGAAUGCAUUGCUUCACUGAAGACGAUAGACACAAAAACCUGAACACUGCCAAAGCAAUGCCUCCCAAGAUCACAAGGAUUAUGUGAUUUCUGAUGACUGAUUCUAGCAGAGAGAACAUUUGUUACGCACGGCUAAAUUUUCUUGCAAUCAACUUCCCAAAAGUAACCAGUGAAUCUCCAGGGCAAUGAGGAUCCCAGACUGAAAACGACUGGCAUAGACUGAAGGCCAGUCCUUCUGCUGGAACAUCUCAGACACACGUCAGAUGCUGCAGUGUCUUAACAGCUUUCAGCUAUCCUCUCUCCAAAACACCUCACCUUGCUACCGCAUAUUCGACGGCUGGUAAUCCAAUCUCCAGAUUUAGACUCUUUCCUCCUAACACGAUAAAAGUUAUGAGUUUAAUUAUGAUGUCUGAGAAAUGCUACCACCAAACACAGUUCCAAUGAAACCCAAGUUUAUAUCUCUCAGGAGUGCUGACUGUUUCAGACUACUCUGGCUUACUGUUAUUUUGGAGAUUGCUGAGUCAAGUCAACAAGCACCCAUUUGUAUUAUUCUGAGUCUCUAGAGAAAGAGGGUAAACAGUGCGGCACCUUACUCAGUGCCAGACACAAAUAUAUUUUUGCCUGUACCUCUCCUGAAGCAGAUUUAAACUAUGAGUUUGACCCUGAGUACCUCCAGCUUAUUAUUGAGACCUUGGCUUGUUGAUAUUGCCUUGUUGAUAUUGUGAAGGAUGACAGUAAACGGUGCAUUCUAUAUCAUCAGAUUGAAAUUGUCAAGACCUUUUUAUUAUCUCCCAACACUUCUUACUUUAGGGCACACUUCAGCUCGGAGGCUUUUGCAAAGAAUUUUCAGUGUUUUGAGCUUAAUAGCACCUCUCUUAUAUUGUAUCUCCUGGCAUCUGCUGACCAGCCUAUCAAAUGAAAAUAUAAAAGACUGGAUAUGAAUUGGUGGUCAGUUAGAACUGCACUCCUAUGUUCUGCCUUCAUCCAAAUCAGUAGAUGGACUGAAGUCUCUCCAAGCCUAUGGGCUGCAAGGGCCUGAGCUGCGUAGCUGCAUUCAACAUCUUCAGGCCACUCUUCAUUUGCUUAUCAGAUUGUUAAAGAAUAAAUUCUUCUUGUCAUUUUGUGCAGU